ACAGGCGUGAGCCACUACGCCCGGCCCCUCCUCCUCAUACUUCUUUAGACUGUUCAGAUAUGAAAUCACUUCAGAAACCUACCCAAAUAUUUGUUAUGUCCUGCAUGAUUGCCAUUUCACAAUCAAUGACAUUUUGAGGCCACAUUGACUAUAAAUAAUCGCAUCUGUCUUUGGAAAAGCCACAUUGUGUUUCACACUAAUUUUUUUUUUUUGUCCUUGCAAAGUUGGCUUUCUGGAUGGAGAGAAUGAUGUGUCUGGCAAUAGGGAUCUGUACGUUUCCUAUUUCAAGAGCACACGAAGUAUUGACAUCUGAAAUGAAAACACAAAAGGAAAAGCUUAAACUUGCCACGUAGAAAGUUCUUCAAGCUUGAAUAGUGUUUUCAUAACCAUAAGUUGAAACUGUGGGACAACCAGACAGAAGAGACAGCAUAGGAGUGUGUGCAGAAAAACAGGAUGCAUAUGACUCUCUGCAGCGGAAUCAAGCUGUGUGCAUUACUACAAAUGCCUCAUCUAGUUGAAUCUGAAGAUGUGGACCUGCUGAUGAAGAGGGCUGACUGUAUCUAACUUAGGGUCUUGCAUGCAGCUGGCACUUACUGCAUUUUAUUGACUGUUUUAGCUAACAUUCAACGGACAAUUCCUAGUUAAAAAAACUCUUAAAAGUAUGAAAAAAAGGAAACCUCCUCUAAAGUGGCAGGAAAACCAGCCUGGGCAACAUAGUGAGAUCUUGUCUCUAGAACAAAAGUUUUAAAAUUCUCUGCCUGUCUGUAGUCCCAGCCACUCUGGAAGCUGAGGCAGGAGGAUCCCUUAAGCCCAGGAGUUUGAGGUUACAGUGAGCUAGAUCACACCAUUGCUCUCCAGUCUGGGUGACAACAAGGCCCUGAGAAAGAAAAAAAAAAAGAAAGGAAAGGAAGGAAAGAGAGGUGAUGACAACUCCGUGAGGGUGGAGAUUAUACGUCUCUCAUCAUUUAAGCAACAAGGAAAUAAAUGAGUGGCAGAGUGAGGGGUGACUCGGUGAGUGCAUCCAAUUGUUGACAUAGUUUCGGGUGGGAGAAAGUUUGCUGUUAUGUCAACUUAACUUCUUAAAAUAGUCUAGUGGGAUCAACUUGGUUUCAUUUCACAGAGAUCUCCUGGAAGCGGGGAUCCUUUAAAAAUCCUGGAAUAUACAUUGCAGUAAAAGAACAAAGCAUAUCUCAGCCUUAAACGAC